rnacentral:rRNA from 1 species
UCAAAAACAUGUCCUUUUGUUAAUAAUUUAAGGUCUGACCUGCCCAAUGAGUAUUUAAAUGGCCGCAGUAUUUUGACUGUGCAAAGGUAGCAUAAUCAUUAGUUUUUUAAUUGUAAGCUGGAAUGAAUGGUUUGAUGAGAAAAUAACUGUCUCAAUUUAAUUGUUUUAGAAUUUUAAUUUUAAGUGAAAAAGCUUAAAUUUUUAAGGAAGACGAGAAGACCCUAUAGAGUUUAAUAUUUCUAUAUUUUGAUUGGUUUUAGAUUUAUUUAAAAUUUUGAUGUAGAAUUAUUUUAUUGGGGUGAUAUUAAAAUUUAAAAAACUUUUAAUUUAUUAUAACAUUUUUUUGUGAUUAUUUGAUCCUAAUUUUUAGAUUAUAAGAUAAAAUUACCUUAGGGAUAACAGCGUAAUUUUUUUUAAGAGUUCUUAUCGAAAAAAAAGUUUGCGACCUCGAUGU